UGUCUGUGUGAUAUGUCUUGUUAGCUUUUGAGUGUGGGUUCUUUGUACAUCUUCUACUCGAUUUCUUUGUUUUGCUACAAUUUGCUUUGGUUUACUUUAAUUUUCUGUUUUUGUAUUUCUAUACACAUACAUACAUAUCUACGUGGUUACGCUUAUAAAUAAAAUCAUAAAACCAAAAGCCAGCCAGUCAUCAAGUGGUGAGCGCGCGCAAUCGCCAAAAGCUUUUACAAAGCGAAUACAAAUAAAAAAAAAAAAACAUUGACAAAGUAAAAGCUAAAUCUCAUUGGUAUAUUAGCUGCUGCUGCUGCUCUCCUCCAGCUGUCAAUCAAUUUACUCUGUUAGCUAUUUUAGUGGAAUGUAAACAAUAGUACAAAAGAAGAGCAGCGUACAAAUAAAGUAUCUGGGUGUAUAGGUUCUGCACCAUAAUGAGUAGUACUUGAGCGGGUGCGAAUAGAGGGCAAUGGUUAGCGAGUGCGUUGGACGUUGGCUCCACUACUAAUGCACGAAGUCGAAUGCAUAAAGAGACAAUCUUUUUUUAGUAUUGCAUUGUGAAUAAUAUCGGUAUAUAUAUAUAUUUUAACUCACAAUUACAAUAAACGUUACUUAAAUAUGUUAAUGUAGUUUGGUUCAGUAUUUAUUUUUGUACCCGUCAUAAUUAUUAUUCAAAACGACUUUUUAGUCAAAUAAUUUAAUCGUGGAAAACCAAAAUGAAAAUAAAAAUCAGUUUAGAGGUCAAUACCACAAUACUAAAUGAUUGAAAAAAAGAAUCUUGCACACUUUUGGUAUUUCUCCUAACCCGCCAAUGUUACUUACCUUUAAGUCGACAUCUGCUUUGUUCCACUCGCCAGACAAGACAUGUUCUCUGAAUUUCGAUGCAGCUGGAUGUUCUAAAUAACAACCGGAUUCUGCCAUUAGGGUCUUUACCGAUUUCUCCAAACCUAUAUCCUGUAAAUAUUGGCCAAUCAAUCGUAUUAUCUCCUGAUUAGAUUUGUCCAAGUGUAAA